rnacentral:lncRNA from 1 species
UGUUUAUUGACUUCUUGAAAAAUGCUAUGUGUCUUGCCAGACUUAGCUUACAAGUUUGGUUAAAGAGAGACUGACAUGAGCAUAAAGGAAGGGACAUUGAAAGAGGCAGAGAUGAAGGAAGAAAUUGUAACUUACUCCUUUUAUCCCACCCAUCAAAGGAAAGACAAGUUGACAUUCCCAGGGUGGAUGGAUCUAGGCAGGACAGGAUCAGAAGUUGCAGUCUUAAUUGGACCAACUCACGCAUGUCACCAGCCGAGUAGUAUUGAUUCUGCACCAAACUGAGAAGAAACCUGGCGAUUCACAACAGAUAGCUGAGAAAUCCUAAGUCUGGAUUCCAGCUAAAUGGGAGCAGACUAAAUAGAGCGGCAGUCGGCGAACUACAUGUAGCCCAUGAACAAAAUCUGGUCCAGCACGUGUGUUUUUUUUUUAUGGCCCACAAAUGAGUCUGUCUUUACAGAUGAGUGUUAAAACUGGUUUGACAAGAGAGAACACUCACUUUGAACCCCAACUAAGCAAAAUAUUAUCACCUUUCCCCUCAAAAAAGGUUUUUGUUCUUCUCAUUAGUAAAUUUGUAUUAUGACAAAA